AUUGAACGCUGGCGGCAUGCUUUACACAUGCAAGUCGAACGGCAGCACGGACUUCGGUCUGGUGGCGAGUGGCGAACGGGUGAGUAAUACAUCGGAACGUACCCAGUAAUGGGGGAUAACUAUCCGAAAGGAUAGCUAAUACCGCAUACGCCCUACGGGGGAAAGAGGGGGAUCGCAAGACCUCUUGUUAUUGGAGCGGCCGAUGGCUGAUUAGCUAGUUGGUGAGGUAAAGGCUCACCAAGGCGACGAUCAGUAGCGGGUCUUAGAGGACGAUCCGCCACACUGGAACUGAGACACGGUCCAGACUCCUACGGGAGGCAGCAGUGGGGAAUCUUGGACAAUGGGCGCAAGCCUGAUCCAGCAAUGCCGCGUGCGUGAAGAAGGCCUUCGGGUUGUAAAGCGCUUUUGUCUGGGAGCAAAUCCUUGUGGUUAAUACCCACCGGGGAUGAGAGUACCAGAAGAAUAAGGACCGGCUAACUACGUGCCAGCCGCCGCAGUAAUAC
rnacentral:rRNA from 1 species